AACGGACGUUGGCGGCGUGGAUUAGGCAUGCAAGUCGAACGAAUCCCAGCUUUGUAGCAAUACCGAGAUGGGGGAAGUGGCGAAAGGGGCAGUAAUGCAUGGGUAACCUACACCGGGGACGGGGAUAGCCAUUCUAACGAGUGGGUAAUACCUGGCGAUUUGGUCGAGGGGCAUCUCUUGGCCAGGAAAUGAAUUUCGCCUCGGGAGGGGUUCAUGUGAUAUUAGCUUGUUGGUGAGGUAACGGCUCACCAAGGCAAAGAUGUCUAGCGGGUGUGAGAGCACGACCCGCGCCACUGGCACUGAGACACUGGCCAGACACCUACGGGUGGCUGCAGUCGAGGAUCUUCGGCAAUGGGCGCAAGCCUGACCGAGCGACGCCGCGUGGACGAUGAAGGCCUUCGGGUUGUAAAGUCCUGUCGAGGGGGAGGAAGGCGCAAGCUUGACCUAUCCCUGGAGGAAGCACGGGCUAAGUUCGUGCCAGCCGCCGCCGUAA
rnacentral:rRNA from 1 species